AGAUCACCUGAGCCCGGGAGCUGGAGGUUUCAGUGAGCUCAGAUGUGCCACUGCAUUCCAGCCUGGGCUACAGAG
rnacentral:snRNA from 1 species